GAUUAUUUCAUCAUCAUACAUGUAAAAUUGUAAUGAUACAGAGGAGAUUAGCAUGGCCCCUAGACAAGGAUGACAUGCAAAUUCAUGAAGUGUUGUUCUAUAAU